rnacentral:rRNA from 1 species
UUCCGGUUGAUCCUGCCGGAGGUCAUUGCUAUCGGAGUUCGAUUUAGCCAUGCUAGUCGUACGGAUCGAGAGAUUCGUGGCGGAAAGCUCAGUAACACGUGGCCAAACUGCCCUCUGGACGUAGCCAGGCUCGGGAAACUGAGCGUAAUCUACGAUGGGGCUCUGUCGCUGGAUGCGCAGAGUCCGAAAGAGCGYGACUCUUCGGAGUGGUGUUAUCACCAGAGGACGUGGCUGCGGCCGAUUAGGUAGACGGUGGGGUAACGGCCCACCGUGCCGAUAAUCGGUACGGGGUGUGAGAGCACGAGCCCGGAGAUGGAAUCUGAGACAAGAUUCCAGGCCCUACGGGGCGCAGCAGGCGCGAAACCUGUACACUGCACGGAAGUGCGAUACGGGGACUCCGAGUGCCAGGGCAUAUCGCCCUGGCUUUUGUGCACUGUAGGGAGGUGCACGAAUAAGAGCUGGGCAAGACCGGUGCCAGCCGCCGCGGUAAUACCGGCAGCUCGAGUGAUGACCGUCAUUAUUGGGCCUAAAGCGUCCGUAGCCGGCCAAGAAGGCUCGUCGGGAAAUCCAGCGGCUCAACCGCUGGGUGUCCGGCGAGACCCGUUUGGCUUGGGACAGGGAGACCCGAGGGGUACGAUCAGGGUAGGAGUGAAAUCCCGUAAUCCUGGUUGGACCGCCGAUGGCGAAAGCACCUCGGGAGAACUGCUCCGACGGUGAGGGACGAAAGCUGGGGUUUCGAACCGGAUUAGAUACCCGGGUAGUCCCAGCCGUAAACGAUGUUCACUAGGUGUUCCUCUCGCUACGCGCGGGAGGAAUGCCGCAGGGAAGCCGCUAAGUGAACCGCCUGGGAAGUACGUCCGCACGGAUGAAACUUAAAGGAAUUGGCGGGGGAGCACWACAGCCGGAGGAGCCUGCGGUUUAAUUGGACUCAACGCCGGUAACCUUACCAGUCCCGACUGCAGCGAUGAGCCAGGGGUUAACGACUCCAGGGAAGCUGCAGAGAGGUGGUGCAUGGCCGCCGUCAGCUCGUACCGUGAGGCGUCCUGUUAAGUCAGGCAACGAGCGAGACCCGCAUCCCUGCUUGCCAGCAUGACCCAUGAGGUUGAUGGGGACAGAAGGGAGACUGCCGCCGCGAAGGCGGAGGAAGGGCCGGGCAACGGUAGGUCAGUAUGCCCCGAAUGGGCUGGGCAACACGCGGGCUACAAUGGCCGAGACAAUGGGCAGACCGACCCCGAGAGGGGGAGGCAAUCUCGGAAACUCGGUCGUAGUUCGGAUUGUGGACUGCAACCCGUCCACAUGAAGUUGGAUUCGGUAGUAGUCGCCUUCCAGGAGAGGGCGGCGAAUACGUCCCUGCUCCUUGCACACACCGCCCGUCAAAGCACCCGAGUGGGGUCUGGAUGAGGAUCGCGUGAGCGAUUCGAAUCUGGGCUCUGCAAGGGGGCUUAAGUCGUAACAAGGUAGCCGUA